GCCGACUUAGCUCAGGGGUAGAGCGUUUCCUUGGUAAGGAAGAGGUCGUGAGUUCAAAUCUCAUAGUUGGCU
rfam:Chryseobacterium chaponense strain DSM 23145 genome assembly, contig: Ga0111693_101